rnacentral:rRNA from 1 species
GAUGAACGCUAGCGGCAGGCCUAACACAUGCAAGUCGAGGGGCAUCGCGGUGCAGCAAUGCACUGGCGGCGACCGGCGUACGGGUGCGUAACGCGUAUGCAACCUGCCCCGCACCGGGGGAUAGCCCGCCGAAAGGCGGAUUAAUACCCCAUGGUCCCGGGGGCCCGCAUGGGCAUCCGGGUAAAGCCUUGGCGGUGCGGGAUGGGCAUGCGUGCCAUUAGCUGGCUGGUGGGGUAACGGCCCACCAGGGCAACGAUGGCUAGGGGGGUCUGAGAGGAUGGUCCCCCACACUGGUACUGAGACACGGACCAGACUCCUACGGGAGGCAGCAGUGGGGAAUUUUGGACAAUGGGCGCAAGCCUGAUCCAGCCAUGCCGCGUGUGGGAAGAAGGCCUUCGGGUUGUAAACCACUUUUGUCAGGGAAGAACGGUUUGACUUAAUACGUUGAACUAAUGACGGUACCUAGAAGAAUAAGCACCGGCUAACUACGUGCCAGCAGCCGCGGUAUCACUACUACG